rnacentral:rRNA from 1 species
AGUGAACGCUGGCGGUGGGCCUAACACAUGCAAGUCGAACGGCAGCACAGUAAGAGCUUGCUCUUACGGGUGGCGAGUGGCGGACGGGUGAGGAAUACAUCGGAAUCUACUUUUUCGUGGGGGAUAACGUAGGGAAACUUAUGCUAAUACCGCAUACGACCUACGGGUGAAAGCAGGGGAUCUUCGGACCUUGCGCGAUUGAAUGAGCCGAUGUCGGAUUAGCUAGUUGGCGGGGUAAAGGCCCACCAAGGCGACGAUCCGUAGCUGGUCUGAGAGGAUGAUCAGCCACACUGGAACUGAGACACGGUCCAGACUCCUACGGGAGGCAGCAGUGGGGAAUAUUGGACAAUGGGCGCAAGCCUGAUCCAGCCAUACCGCGUGGGUGAAGAAGGCCUUCGGGUUGUAAAGCCCUUUUGUUGGGAAAGAAAAGCAGCAGGUUAAUACCCCGCUGUUCUGACGGUACCCAAAGAAUAAGCACCGGCUAACUUCGUG